rnacentral:rRNA from 1 species
AGUGAACGCUGGCGGCAGGCCUAACACAUGCAAGUCGAGCGGCAGCACAGUAAGCACUUGCUCUUACGGGUGGCGAGUGGGGGACGGGUGAGGUAUACAUCGGAUUCUACUGUUACGUGGGGGAUAACGUAGGGCAAGCUACGCUAAUACCGCAUACGUCUUACGGGUGUAAGCAGGGGUUCUUCGGACUUUGCGGGUUUGUAUGAGCCGAUGUCGGAUUAGAUAGUUGGCGGGGUAGAGGCCCACCAAGGCCACGAUCCGUAGCUGAUCUGAGAGGAGGGACAGCCACACUGGAACAGAGACACGGUCCAGACUCCUGCGGGAGGCAACAGUGGGGAAUAUUAGGCAAUGGGCGCGAGCCUAAUCCAGCCAAACCGCGUGGGUGAAGAAGGCCUUCGGGUUGUAAAGCCCUUUUGUUGUGAAAGAAAAACAGCUGGUUAAUCCGCCACUGUUCUGACGGUACCUAAAGAAUAAGCACCGGCUAACUUCGUG